GAUGAACGCUGGCGGCGUGCCUAAUACAUGCAAGUCGAGCGAACGGACGAGAAGCUUGCUUCUCUGAUGUUAGCGGCGGACGGGUGAGUAACACGUGGAUAACCUACCUAUAAGGCUGGGAUAACUUCGGGAAACCGGAGCUAAUACCGGAUAAUAUUUUGAACCGCAUGGUUCAAAAGUGAAAGACGGUCUUGCUGUCACUUAUAGAUGGAUCCGCGCUGCAUUAGCUAGUUGGUAAGGUAACGGCUUACCAAGGCAACGAUGCAUAGCCGACCUGAGAGGGUGAUCGGCCACACUGGAACUGAGACACGGUCCAGACUCCUACGGGAGGCAGCAGUAGGGAAUCUUCCGCAAUGGGCGAAAGCCUGACGGGGCAACGCCGCGUGAGUGAUGAAGGUCUUCGGAUCGUAAAACUCUGUUAUUAGGGAAGAACAUAUGUGUAAGUAACUGUGCACAUCUUGACGGUACCUAAUCAGAAAGCCACGGCUAACUACGUG
rnacentral:rRNA from 1 species